UUCAAGUCCGUCACUCCCCUUCCUUUCCUCUAGGGCGGGAGCUACACAGGAAGUGCCUCUUUCACUGUGGGGUUAUUGACAGGUACUGGAUUCGCCUCGGCGCCAUCUCUUUUUAGCUUUUGCCUGUGCCGUUGCUGGCAGCUGAGUCAGAACUUCUGAGGAGAGCGUCUGUUCUUGACUGACUUUGCAGAUCUCUGAAAACAGACCUGUUGCUUCAAUCAA
rnacentral:lncRNA from 1 species